UACGUAGGGCGCAAGCGUUGUCCGGAAUUAUUGGGCGUAAAGAGCUCGUAGGUGGUUUGUCGCGUUGUCCGUGAAAACUCACAGCUCAACUGUGGGCGUGCGGGCGAUACGGGCAGACUAGAGGUAUGCAGGGGAGAAUGGAAUUCCUGGUGUAGCGGUGAAAUGCGCAGAUAUCAGGAGGAACACCGGUGGCGAAGGCGGUUCUCUGGGCAUUACCUGACGCUGAGGAGCGAAAGUGUGGGGAGCGAACAGG
rnacentral:rRNA from 1 species